UUGUAAAGGACAAGAAUGGUUUCCCCACAGUUGUUAGUGGUGUUCCACCUGAUGCAUUCAGUGAAACUGGUCAGUUAUGGAACAGCCCAUUGUAUGACUGGAAAUCUAUGGAAGCAGAUGGCUUUGCAUGGUGGGUAAAGAGGAUUAAACGUGCCCUUGAUUUGUAUGAUGAGUUCCGUAUUGACCAUUUCCGGGGGCUUGCUGGUUUCUGGGCAGUUCCUUCGGGAUCAGAAGUAGCGAUGUUUGGAAGCUGGAGGGCUGGACCAAGGAAUGCCUUUUUUGAUGCGCUCUUCAAAGCUGUUGGUAAAA